CUUUGCUACUUGAAUCACUUGUAGAAUUUACAUGUUUCUCUACUCUUUCCACACUAUGACUGCAGAUCCAAUAUAAUAUAUGAACAGAUCCAAUGCAGUGACUGCAGACCUGUCACAUAAAACAAACCAUACUUGGUAUUCAGUACAUUUUUUUCUGAUAAAAAAAAAACAUUAUGGUCUCAAACAACAUACUUGUAAACCAUUUCUUCUGAAAUUCUUUUUCAGGUUAUAUAAUGAAUAAAAAACUCUAAUUUCUAACAAAUUUUCAUAUGGACUUGCUAAACUUUUUUAUUUCUCGCAAAGAUAUAUAUGGAAAAUUACAAAUCAACGAGAUGACAAAUAAGUAGAUCAAACAAAUGUGAGAACAGCGGAGACAAAGCUCUAGAAUGAGAGGCUAAAAAUAAAUAUUUUUAUUUUUCCAUUCAAUAAAAUAUAUAAUCACAAAUAAUAGUAUAUUACUAUUAAUACAUUUUAAGUUUUCGAGGAGUCAUAGCCUUGGAUAUCCCUUUACUCUCAGAUUUUUUUUUUAUAAUAGUGUAAUAUGCUUUUGAGUUUUUGAAAAUCGACAAAUUAAAAUUUUAUUGUUGAAUUGGACAAAUUGUAUAUUGGAAGUGAGUUAAUUUUGAAAAAAAUCAUAUUAUAUGAUGGUGAGUUUCAACAUUUUCAAAGAAUCAUAUUCUUCACAUAACAUUUGUAAACUUUUUGCAAUCAAAUUUUUAAAGCAUAUUGUAUUUAGAAAAUAUGAUUUUAAUUAAUAUAAAAAAAUUAAAUUUGCUAUAUCCUGCACUUCAUAUCUAAUUACAUGCAACCAGAUUUCCCUUCAAAUAUACUCAUUUCAAAGGUAUUUAAUAGUUUUCCAAGUGCUAGCCAAAAGUGUGAUAUAUUUCAAAAAAAAAAGAAAAAAAAAAGGUAUCAUAUGUUAUUGAUUCAAGUACAAAUAUGUGGAUUAAAGAUAUUGAAAUUAAUUUAAUAAAAAAAUAAAGAGAUUUAAAAGGAUAAUUUACCUUCUAUGAGAUACAAAUUUUUUAAAUUUUGACCUAAAAUUAUAAAUUAUAUUUUAUUUAAUUUUAAAAUUUUAAAACUUAAAAUAAAAAAGUGAGUCACUCUUUUGAAUACCAAAUUUAAGUAUUGAGCAACCAAAUGAAAGUAAACAAAAAAUUAAUGGAUUAUUCUUUUAGUGCCCUUUUAUAUUGACGAAUAAUUAAUAUUUAGUCUUAUCUUAGUGUCAUGUCACAUAGUGAGCUUUACUUUUAAAACUUUCAAAUUAUUCUUAUCCUAGGGAGUAGACCUAACUCCUAACAGUCCUUUUUGCAAUAUUUUAUUUAUGUAUUUUACAUUUGAUUAUAAUAUAAAUAUAGUUUAAUUUUGUCAAAAUAUUUUAUUUUACCGUAAUAUAACUCUUAUAAAAUAUUUAUUUAAUUUUUAAUUUUCAUAUUAUUUAAUAAUAUUUAAUAUAGUAAUGUGUGAAAAUUCUAGAAGACGUGUUCGAAUACCGAAUGAAGGUUUUCAGAAAAAUUUUUGGCAUUCAAAUAUAUUAAUAUAAGAAAAUAUUAUGAAUUUUAAUGUGAAAGAAAAAUGGUCCUUUAAGUUAUGAAACUAUACUCCUUUGGAUCGAAAUCUUCUUUUAUAUAAUUUUUAGCCUUUGGAAUAAAGGAUGUCAGCAGAAAAUAACAUUUUAUUGAUUUAUUGAUUAAAUUAUCAAUUUAAAAUAUUUAUAAUUAAAUUAACAAUUAUGAUAUAUUAGAAAAGAGACGUGUCCAGUUUUAUCUAAAAAUAGAUUACUUAUAGUUUAUUGUAGUAUAAACGAUGUUUCAUUUAAUAUUAAAACCUUAAAAUAGAUUUAUAUUAAUGUCCAUAUUUUUUUAACCAGUAUUGAUUUUAUUUCAUGUAUUAUUUAUUAUAGUCAACCUUAGUAUAUCUUCUUCUUGGUUUCAUUAAUUAAAAUAGGUUUUAAUAUAAAGAAUUUUUAGCACAUGAGUUUAAAAAGUUGUUAAGAUAUUUUGAACAUACAUUGAGAAUAAUAGUAAUACCUUGUUCAACUAUAAUUAAGAUAUUUUAUUAACUAAUAUGAUUUUUAUUAACUUUUUAAAAUAGUUGUAAAUUAAUUAUCUAAUGAUAAAAAAAAAUCCAUUAAUUAAUUCUUAAAAAUAUCAAGUUAUCCACAGAAUAAUUUUGUUGAAAUCUUAAUAGGAAAUAUUAGUUAAUCAAUACCCAUAUGUAUUAACAUAUGAAAUCUAAUUUUGGUUUGCAUCACUUGAAAGUUCAUUUUUCCUUCUUAAAAAAAUAAUUAUUCAAAAAUAUAACAAUGACAGACUGUCGAAAUUAUGUAAGUACACUGGAGAAAAUUAAUGAUUAAAAAUAAUUCUGUUGAAGAAGAGAGGGGGAUUUUUUUUCAACCACACGUAAUUGCAAAAUCUAUUACUUUAAGGUAAAAAAAAUCUGUUUUUUAAUCUGCAAUUUUAUCAUCAUUAAUUAAACUCGUAUUUAGUGGCCCCUCAUGUUUUGAAAAUUUACUUAAUAGAAAAAUAUGCGUGUACUUGUCAUCGUUGUGAUUACUAUUAAUUAUUGCUAGCUAAUAAUAUUCUAUAUUUCUAUCAUAUGUUUUUUAAGGUAAAUUAACUUGUUACAAAAAUUAGUCAAGCGAUUGUCAUAAAUUUUAAAAAAAGUUAAUAUUAUGACUGUUUAAACUUUUUUUUCCUUUCCAUUUUACAAUUCCGUGACAAGUUUUCUUUUGGGGUCAAACUUUUUUUGCCUAAAUAAUAUUAAAAAUAUUAAUAGUAAUUUCUUGCAAUGAAUUAGAUAUUUAAGAUCUGUACAUGGUGACAAAUGUAUAAGCUCCUUCAUUAUAGACAACAUUUCAGAGAAGUAAUUGUAAUGAAAUAAAUUACAUUUUUCUUUUCCUGUUACCUUAUAUUCUGAGUGUCUGCAGUUUGGUUUAUCAUAUUAAGAAAAGUGCACCUUUUUUUUAAGUUUUCUCUGACUAAGAAGAAGGAAUUAACAUUUUUUAACAAAUAUUCUCUUAUACAUUGAAUUAAGAGUGAAACAGAUAUAAUUUAUCAAUCACUAAUUGAGUUCUAUUUUUUUAAUAAAAAAAUAUAUAUAAAUAAAAGAACAUAUAGGUAUACAAAAUUCUAUAAAAAAAAAUCCUUAUAAAAGAAAAGAAAAAAGACCAUUUUUUAUAGUUUUCGUAAAGUUUCGAGAUGAGCAACUAACAAUAAUCUGAAUAGAUCCUUGCAACUAUCACAUAAAACAUAAAAUUUCAAUAAAGAAAUCUUUCACCUUUAUGUAUUAAAACUAGCAUAUCCUCAAUGUGUCUAAAUAAGUAAAAUUGUUAACCUAAUGAAAAAAUAUUUUAGGGUUUAAAUAAAUUAUUGGUUUUUAAAUUAGUUUUUAUUAUUGUUAAAUAAUUUCUAAAUUGGUAUCUAAUUGGUACCAAAUUUAGAAAUUAAAUAAUUGGUAGUUAAAGCCUCAGUAACUAAUUAGAUAUUAAUUUAAAAACUAUUUAACAAUAAUAGAAACUAAUUUAGAACCAUUUUUUUUUUUAAUUUCUAAAAUAGUCUCUAAUUUAGUUACUAUUACAACUAAUUAUUUUAUUUUCUAAAAAUUGAUUUCUAUUUAAUGAUUUUAUUGUAGUGUACAUUAUAUAGUCCAUGUCCAAAUUGAGAACACAUUAUUUUUGUGUAACUAAUUAAAGUUGUAGGAUGAAAUCAUGAUUUUAUAAAAAACCACUCACCAAGAUAAAUUUCAUUAAGAAUGAUUUUCCUUGAUUACAUUUACUCUAAAUGAGAAAAAAAAACAAUUUCAACAUUAGGGCAAACUGAAACAGAUACAUUAUACUAUGACCUUUAAACUUGUGGUUUAAACUCAAGUGAACACUUUAUAAUUUGAGAGGAAGGAAGAGCUAUAUGAUAAACACAAUUACAGUGAUGUUGGACGAGGUAAUGAAGCAUACCAAACAACAUAGUAGUGUGAAGAGGUUGGAGUUUGUACGUAUUGAGUACCUUAAUGAGAGGAGAGAGUGAGAAUGAGAGAGAGACAAGGAGUGUCAGGAAACGAAUCUACGUGCAAGAUACCCCUGUCGGUGACUGAACCAGCAAAUUGUCAAAGUAGUUUUGGUCCCAUUUCACUCACACGCAUCAUGUCCAUCUUCAUAAACCAUUUACCUAUUUACUUCUCCAUCUUUUGAAAUAUGUAUAUGUUGUCUUCUCUUCCUUUGGACCAAACACAUACACUUCCCCACUUCAUCACUCUUCCACCAACACCAACACCAACACCAACUUUCAUUUAACCCCAAAUGCAUACCUAGGCCCUGCUGUACUUUUUCUCUGCAACUCAAAAAUCUCCACCUCCUCUGUUGCUUUUUGUUUCCUUAUAUCUCAUUUUACCACUUUUUCUUUCAUUCUGCACUUUCCAAUCUCCACAUGCACACCAUGGUGUGUGUCACCCUAUACGUUAGUUUCUUCAUCUGAACCUUACCUUAGUCAAAAAAUUCAGCUUCAAGUUCAUCUCUACCAAAUGUAACUUCAUCUUAAUCUGUUCAGGUGAGUUAUACUGAUGUAAGAGUGAGUUUAUAUACUCACUUAAAAAGGGAAAGAAUGCGAAGAGAAAAAUCUACAAUUAUAAAUGAAUGACUGAAAUUAAAUUAUAGAGUUAUUUGACUGUUUUAAAGUGGUUAAUUACCUGAUCAUUUAAAAAAUAGAUUUAGAAUUUUGUGUAUUCAAC
rnacentral:lncRNA from 1 species